GAUGAACGCUGGCGGCGUGCCUAAUACAUGCAAGUCGAGCGAACAGAUAAGGAGCUUGCUCCUUUGACGUUAGCGGCGGACGGGUGAGUAACACGUGGGUAACCUACCUAUAAGACUGGAAUAACUCCGGGAAACCGGGGCUAAUGCCGGAUAACAUUUAGAACCGCAUGGUUCUAAAGUGAAAGAUGGUUUUGCUAUCGCUUAUAGAUGGACCCGCGCCGUAUUAGCUAGUUGGUAAGGUAACGGCUUACCAAGGCAACGAUCCGUAGCCGACCUGAGAGGGUGAUCGGCCACACUGGAACUGAGACACGGUCCAGACUCCUACGGGAGGCAGCAGUAGGGAAUCUUCCGCAAUGGGCGAAAGCCUGACGGAGCAACGCCGCGUGAGUGAUGAAGGUCUUCGGAUCGUAAAACUCUGUUAUUAGGGAAGAACAAAUGUGUAAGUAACUGUGCACGUCUUGACGGUACCUAAUCAGAAAGCCACGGCUAACUACGUG
rnacentral:rRNA from 1 species